CCUCGACCCAGACCCGGGAGGUACGGCCUGAGAGCCAGUGGUUUGGGUAAGCAACUAGGCGAGGGGCCAGAACACCUGAAACAGGGUCCUUCCACCUGGGGCCGUCAAGUUUUAUUGUCAUAUGCACAAGUACAGGAAACCAUCUGCUUGGGUUGCAUGCCGCUUUGUGGAGAAGCUGCCUGUGAGACCUGGUGCAGUGCAAGCUGGAACAAUUAAUACAGCCACUCAUUGUGGUCCUUGGGCUGCACUCCGGCUGGCACAAAUUCUGCUCAGAA